CUCCUCUCUAUGACAACCGUGACACCCGAAGCCAAAUCUAGUUGACGAACCCUGUUUUAUAGAAUGCCAUGGCCUUUACUGGCCAACUGCUGUUAUGUUUAUGAUAUACUAUGGUGUUGUGUCACUAGACUUUGACCAGAUAUUAUUGCAUCCAAAGAUCAACUAUACCUAGAACAUAGAUACAGAGCCACUUGUUAUCAGGAAGGUGCUAUCUCAGCACAACGGAAAAUAUCUCAAUGACUUGACAUGUUCUGGUUGUGAAUUCAGGCUACAAGGACGUCAGUGCUCUAAAAUGAGGAGGAGGUCCCUGCCUCUAAAAUGAGUCUCUCUGGGGAGAGAAAGGAGGGGGUCCCUGCCUCUAAAAUGAGUCUCUCUGGGGAACAUGGCACCAAAUCUAAGAGCCCAAUCAAGCAGGAGAGACCAGCCUCCCCUGUACCCAGCUGUGUGUCCAUGAAGAGUGACCAGUCUAUGGAUCGUCCUAUAAUGUUUAGAGAGGGAGACUUUUCUACUGAACAAAG